rnacentral:rRNA from 1 species
UACGUAGGGCGCAAGCGUUGUCCGGAAUUAUUGGGCGUAAAGCGCGUGUAGGCGGCGUGACAAGUCGGGUGUGAAAGCCCUCAGCUCAACUGAGGAAGUGCGCCCGAAACUGUCGUGCUUGAGUGCCGGAGAGGGUGGCGGAAUUCCCCAAGUAGAGGUGAAAAUUCGUAGAUAUGGGGAGGAACACCGGUGGCGAAGGCGGCCACCUGGACGGUAACUGACGCUGAGACGCGAAAGCGUGGGGAGCAAACAGG